UGCCGGGACGGGAUGGCGUUGAUAUUGCGUAACCCCGCCAGGUCCGGAAGGAAGCAACGGUAAGUAGUGUUGCGGGUGUCCCGUCCCGGUAUUU
rnacentral:SRP_RNA from 1 species